rnacentral:rRNA from 1 species
UACGAAGGGGGCUAGCGUUGCUCGGAAUUACUGGGCGUAAAGCGCACGUAGGCGGAUUGUUAAGUCGGGGGUGAAAUCCUGGAGCUCAACUCCAGAACUGCCUUCGAUACUGGCGAUCUCGAGUCCGGGAGAGGUGAGUGGAACUGCGAGUGUAGAGGUGAAAUUCGUAGAUAUUCGCAAGACACCAGUGGCGAAGGCGGCUCACUGGCCCGGUACUGACGCUGAGGUGCGAAAGCGUGGGGAGCGAACGAGG